UACGGGGGGGGCAAGCGUUGUUCGGAAUUACUGGGCGUAAAGGGCUCGUAGGUGGCCAACUAAGUCAUGCGUGAAAUCCCUCGGCUUAACCGGGGAACUGCGUCUGAUACUGGAUGGCUUGAGUUUGGGAGAGGGAUGCGGAAUUCCAGGUGUAGCGGUGAAAUGCGUAGAUAUCAGGAGGAACACCGGUGGCGAAGGCGGGUCUCUGGGCCGUAACUGACGCUGAGGAGCGAAAGCAUGGGGAGCGAACAGG
rnacentral:rRNA from 1 species